rnacentral:miRNA from 1 species
GAUUGACUGUAGUGACUGU